UACGGAGGAUCCAAGCGUUAUCCGGAUUUAUUGGGUUUAAAGGGUGCGUAGGCGGUUUGAUAAGUUAGAGGUGAAAUACCGGUGCUCAACACCGGAACUGCCUCUAAUACUGUUGAACUAGAGAGUAGUUGCGGUAGGCGGAAUGUAUGGUGUAGCGGUGAAAUGCUUAGAGAUCAUACAGAACACCGAUUGCGAAGGCAUCUCACGAAUCCGCGAUUGACGCUGAUGCACGAAAGCGUGGGUAUCAAACAGG
rnacentral:rRNA from 1 species